AUUGAACGCUGGCGGCAGGCCUAACACAUGCAAGUCGAGCGGAAACGGGAAUAGCUUGCUAUUCGGCGUCGAGCGGCGGACGGGUGAGUAAUGCCUGGGAAAUUGCCCUGAUGUGGGGGAUAACCAUUGGAAACGAUGGCUAAUACCGCAUAAUAGCUUCGGCUUAAAGAGGGGGACCUUCGGGCCUCUCGCUUCAGGAUAUGCCCAGGUGGGAUUAGCUAGUUGGUGAGGUAAAGGCUCACCAAGGCGACGAUCCCUAGCUGGUCUGAGAGGAUGAUCAGCCACACUGGAACUGAGACACGGUCCAGACUCCUACGGGAGGCAGCAGUGGGGAAUAUUGCACAAUGGGCGCAAGCCUGAUGCAGCCAUGCCGCGUGUAUGAAGAAGGCCUUCGGGUUGUAAAGUACUUUCAGCAGUGAGGAAGGGUGUGUAGUUAGUAGCUGCAUACUUUGACGUUAGCUGCAGAAGAAGCACCGGCUAACUCCGUGCCAGCAGCCGCGGUAAUACGGUGGGUGCGAGCGUUGAUCGGAAUUACUGGGCGUAAAGCGCAUGCAGGUGGUUUGUUAAGUCAGAUGUGAAAGCCCGGGGCUCAACCUCGGAACCGCAUUUGAAACUGGCAGGCUAGAGUACUGUAGAGGGGGGUAGAAUUUCA
rnacentral:rRNA from 1 species